CUAAAAAGCUACAAAUUGAAGAACUGAUCCUUUAGUUGAUGUCACUGACAGGGAUGUAACAUUUGGCACAACUCCUCAGACAGUGGAUGGAAUGACUGAUUCCUUAAAGUUUUUCCUUUAAGUUCCCAAAGUUUUUGCAUCAACAUGAGGUGUAUACUUCUGACUGCAGCAUCUAAAAUCCAAUUUUCUGUGAGAAAACGUAAUUAAGCAUCAUAGUGUGUUAAUGGAGUUUCUACCGUGUAUCCUUUACAUCCCACCGUAUUGUUACACUGUCUGUAUGUAUGUACAUACGUGAAUGAAUGGAAAUUCUUUUAACACAGAUAACGUGGUAUUUUGUUUUGUAUAGUUUAAACUAGAUUUGUGAAAAAAUAACACUUCACUGAAAGCUUAAACCAGAAAGCCAAAAAUGUAUGUUAUUCUUUGAUAACUAAUGUGAAACUGACAGCAGCUGUGGUAAUGUUAAAGUUCACCACCCAGAGUUGUAGUAGUUAGAGAGAUAUGCUUCAAGCAGAAGACUAGUGCUUGCAUGAGCAAAAGUACUGAAAACUUGAAACUGAGUUUUUAUUUCAUACACACCAUACUUUAGUGUAGUAUUCGACUGUUGCCUUUUUGUAUCCAGGUAUUCUGCUGAUGUCACCACAGCUUAAAGAGGCACAUUGAUAUU